AACGUAGGACGCAAGCGUUAUCCGGAGUUACUGGGCGUAAAGCGCGGGCAGGCGGCUCGAUGCGUCCGAUGUGAAAUCCCCCGGCUCAACCGGGAGAGGCCAUUGGAAACGGUCGGGCUGGAGGGCAGUAGAGGCAGGCGGAAUUCCGGGUGGAGUGGUGAAAUGCGUAGAGAUCCGGAGGAACACCAGAGGCGAAGGCGGCCUGCUGGGCUGCACCUGACGCUGAGCCGCGAAAGCCAGGGGAGCGAACGGG
rnacentral:rRNA from 1 species